GCAAGUCGAGCGGACUUGAUGGAGUGCUUGCACUCCUGAGNGUUAGCGGCGGACGGGUGAGUAACACGUAGGCAACCUGCCCUCAAGACUGGGAUAACUACCGGAAACGGUAGCUAAUACUGGAUAAUUUAUUUCACAGCAUUGUGGAAUAAUGAAAGACGGAGCAAUCUGUCACUUGGGGAUGGGCCUGCGGCGCAUUAGCUAGUUGGUGGGGUAAUGGCUCACCAAGGCGACGAUGCGUAGCCGACCUGAGAGGGUGAACGGCCACACUGGGACUGAGACACGGCCCAGACUCCUACGGGAGGCAGCAGUAGGGAAUCUUCCGCAAUGGGCGAAAGCCUGACGGAGCAACGCCGCGUGAGUGAUGAAGGUUUUCGGAUCGUAAAGCUCUGUUGCCAAGGAAGAACGUCUUCUAGAGUAACUGCUAGGAGAGUGACGGUACUUGAGAAGAAAGCCCCGGCUAACUACGUGCCAGCAGCCGCGGUAAUACGUAGGGGGCAAGCGUUGUCCGGAAUUAUUGGGCGUAAAGCGCGCGCAGGCGGUUCUUUAAGUCNGNUGUUUAAACCCGAGGCUCAACUUCGGGUCGCACUGGAAACUGGGGGACUUGAGUGCAGAAGAGGAGAGUGGAAUUUCACGUGUAGCGGUGAAAUGCGUAGAUAUGUGGAGGAACACCAGUGGCGAAGGCGACUCUCUGGGCUGUAACUGACGCUGAGGCGCGAAAGCGUGGGGAGCAAACAGGAUUAGAUACCNCUGGUAGUCCAC
rnacentral:rRNA from 1 species